rnacentral:lncRNA from 1 species
AACGCUAAAGUGCUACAGCCAACACACUCUCUCGGCUGAAGCAAAUCCGUACUCUACGAGUAUCUACACUCGCACGUCGUACGCCUCUCUAACGCUCUACUCCGAAUUCGAGCCUUAGGCACUUUUGCCCUAGCACAUGGCCACACAAGCAUGACUCAGCCAUCUCAAUUCGAGGCAGUAACUCGAUAAUCAACCAACCACUCUUUCAGCAGUGAUCCUACUUUCACUGUUUAAUCUACCGGAACUACAUCCGAGACACUCGAAUUGCUCGGUUA